rnacentral:rRNA from 1 species
GAAACGACUGCUAAGACUGGAUAGGAAGAAAUAAGGCAUCUUAUUUCUUUUAAAAGACCUAGUAAUAGGUAUACUUUAGGAGGGGCUUGCGCCAUAUUAGUUAGUUGGUAGGGUAAUGGCCUACCAAGACGAUGAUGUGUAGCUGGACUGAGAGGUUGAACAGCCACAUUGGGACUGAGACACGGCCCAAACUCCUACGGGAGGCAGCAGUAAGGAAUUUUCGGCAAUGGAGGAAACUCUGACCGAGCAACGCCGCGUGAACGACGAAGUACUUUGGUAUGUAAAGUUCUUUUAUCAAGGAAGAAAAGCAAGUGGCGAACCAUUUGUUUGCCGGUACUUGAUGAAUAAGCCCCGGCUAAUUAUGUGCCAGCAGCCGCGGUAAGACAUAAGGGGCAAGUGUUAUCCGGAAUUAUUGGGCGUAAAGGGUGCGUAGGCGGUCUAGUAAGUCAGUGGUGUAAUGGCAACGCUCAACGUUGUCCGGCUAUUGAAACUGCUAAACUUGAGUUAGAUAGAGGCGAGUGGAAUUCCAUGUGUAGCGGCAAAAUGCGUAAAUAUAUGGAGGAACACCAGAGGCGUAGGCGGCUCGCUGGGUCUUAACUGACGCUGAGGCACGAAAGCGUGGGGAGCAAACAGGAUUAGAUACCCUGGUAGUCCACGCCGUAACGAUGAGUACUAAGUGUCGGGUUAAACCGGUACUGAAGUUAACACAUUAAGUACUCCGCCUGAGUAGUACGUACGCAAGUAUGAAACUUAAAGGAAUUGACGGGACUCCGCACAAGCGGUGGAUCAUGUUGUUUAAUUCGAAGAUACCCGAAAAACCUUACCAGGUCUUGACAUGUUUUCGCGAAACGGUAGUAAUAUCGUAGAGGUUAUCAGAAACACAGGUGGUGCAUGGUUGUCGUCAGCUCGUGUCGUGAGAUGUUAGGUUAAGUCCUAAAACGAGCGAAACCCUUAUCGUUAGUUGCCAGCACGUUAUGGUGGGGACUUUAACGAGACUGCCAGUGAUAAACUGGAGGAAGGUGAGGAUCACGUCAAAUCAGCAUGCCCCUUAUGACCUGGGCUACAAACGUGAUACAAAGGCUGUUACAAAGGGUAGCUGAAACGUAAGUUCUUGGCCAAUCCCCAAAAACAGUCUCAGUCCGGAUUGAAGUCAGCAACUCGACCUCACGAAGUUGGAAUCGCUAGUAAUCGCGAAUCAGCAUGUCGCGGUGAAUACGUUCUCGGGGUUUGUACACACCGCCCGUCA